CCUGUAACUCAGAUCCUGCAAAAAGUGUGACUUGCAGGCCUUCAGACCACCUGCUUGUUUCUCCCACAACAUCCGACAGAGUAAAGAGAGGACAGCGCAUGGAUCUGUGUUUGUUCUGGUAUUGGCACAGUUCCUAAACGGUUGAUGCAGGAGGAGUGCUGAUAAGUGCUAUAAGAAUUAGUUCCUUGCGUUUUGCAUAACUCCACAAUUUGGAGCUCUAAACCCUGGACCCUACUUGCCAAUCACAAGGGUGAGUGAAAAUUGUGAGUCCUGAUAUAGUACCCGCUCUGGAUGCUCAAUGCUACUGACUUGGUGAUUAUCUGCGGUUUCAUCUAGUAAUAUAGGUCCUGCCCUAUUUUUCUUUAUUUCUAAGAACGACUUUAUGUAAGGUAGCAGAGCAUAAAACCAUUUUACAUAAUGUUUAUGAUCCAGCAUUUUUUUUUUUUUUUUUUUGAUCUUGAAAGGAUUCCAAGCACAAAACUAACUUCCUCUCUAACUCCGCC